GACGAACGCUGGCGGCGUGCUUAACACAUGCAAGUCGAACGGAAAGGCCCUGCUUGCAGGGUACUCGAGUGGCGAACGGGUGAGUAACACGCGGGUGAUCUGCCCUGCACUUCGGGAUAAGCCUGGGAAACUGGGUCUAAUACCGGAUAGGAGCCAUUUUUAGUGUGAUGGUUGGAAAGUUUUUUCGGUGUAGGAUGAGCCCGCGGCCUAUCAGCCUGUUGGUGGGGUAAUGGCCUACCAAGGCGGCGACGGGUAGGCGGCCUGAGAGGGUGGACGGCCACAUUGAGACCGAGGGACGGCCAAGACUCGGAAGGGAGGCAGCAGUGGGGAAUAUUGCACAAUGGGCGCAAGCCUGAUGCAGCGACGCCGCGUGGGGGAAGACGGCCUUCGGGUUGUAAACUCCUUUCGCUAGGGACGAAGCUCUUUGUGACGGUACCUAGACAAGAAGCACCGGCUAACUACGUG
rnacentral:rRNA from 1 species